CCUACGGGUGGCUGCAGUAGGGAAUAUUGCACAAUGGGGGAAACUCUGAUGCAGCGACGCCGCGUGAGUGAAGAAGUAAUUCGUUAUGUAAAGCUCUAUUAGCAGGGAAGAAAAUGACGGUACCUGAGUAAGAAGCCCCGGCUAACUACGUGCCAGCAGCCGCGGUAAUACGUAGGGGGCAAGCGUUCUCCGGAUUUACUGGGUGUAAAGGGAGCGUAGACGGCAGUGCAAGUCUGGAGUGAAAGGCGGGGGCUGAACCCUGGGACUGCUCUGGAAACUGUACGGCUGGAGUGCAGGAGGGGAAAGUGGAAUUCCUGGUGUAGCGGUGAAAUGCGGAGAUAUUAGGAGGAACACCAGUGGCGAAGGCGGCUUACUGGACUGUAACUGACGUUGAGGCUCGAAAGCGUGGGGAGCAAACAGGAUUAGAUACCCUGGUAGUC
rnacentral:rRNA from 1 species